UACGUAGGGGGCGAGCGUUGUCCGGAUUUACUGGGCGUAAAGGGUACGCAGGCGGCCUUGUAAGUCAGAUGUGAAAGACCACAGCUUAACUGUGGCAAGCAUUUGAAACUAUAGGGCUUGAGUCAAGGAGAGGAGAGCGGAAUUCCUAGUGUAGCGGUGAAAUGCGUAGAUAUUAGGAAGAACACCAGUGGCGAAGGCGACUCUCUGGCCUUGUACAGACGCUGAGGUACGAAAGCGUGGGGAGCAAACAGG
rnacentral:rRNA from 1 species